UUUUAAAAUAAUUUUAGGCCAUUAAUUUGUUUAGUCUAAAAUUUUAUUUUUAUUUUUUACAUUUUUAUAAAGUUUGGGAAAAUACAAUACAAAAUUAUAAAAUUGAAAAUAACAAAAAUUGAAAACAAAGGCAAAAGAAAUAAAAUUUAAAAAAAUUUAAAAAUAGGGUCUUAAUAAGAAGACCCAAAACUGGGCCAAUCUUGUCAAAAUCUGGUGGCCCAAUAGCCUAAUUCCCAAACCCCUUCACGAAACCCGCCCAGUACCCUCACCCGACCGGUCUUGAGAAAAAUCCAAACUACGGCGUUCCCUUGAAUCCAUCCUAGCCCUUGGAUCAUUGAUCCAACGGCUCUGAUUUGCUUAGGAUGUUUGGUAUGCAAAUGUCGGAUAUCCCCCCACCCCUGUCUCACAGUCUCAAACACACCCUAGAUCCGACCUGCGUAACGCCACCCAUCGCCGCCGGCCAGAAAUCGCCGCCGCCGGCGAACCAACUUUAAAUGACCUGAAAAUUACACCCCUGGUUCUCCUUCUCCUCCCCUUUACGAAUCCACCACCAGUUUCUCUCAAAUCCCGGCCAAAUAGAUCGAAUCUUCGAUUCAAUCUUUCCGGCCAAGUCACAAAUUUGUCCAAAUGAUACCAAAUUGAUACAAGAUGGUCUCCUCGUCUUCCUCAUCUCAAAUAUGUGGUUAUUUCACUUUGAAUCUCAUCAGGUUGCUCCCAAUUUCGAAUCUAAGGUUGCGAGUUUUCUGCCACUCAAGAGCUUCAUCCUAGGAGGAAUUCUUGUUAAUAUUAGGAGUUUAUUUUGACAAUAAUAAACUUUUAAUAUUAAAAUUCCGGAAUUAAAUAUAAGUCCAAGUUCAAAUAAGUAAGUUGGUCUAAUCUUUGUUUUCGAUUUAAUUUGACGUGUUUCUCUUUCAUUAAGUGUAGUGUUAAGUUCAAAAUGUCUUAAUUGGUAGUUUGUUUACGAUAUAAUUCUGGUUAAAUUUUUAGUUUAAAUUCCAUUUUUGUUUAGUUCUAUUGAUUUAUAUCUCAUUCAUGCUUUAUUUGCUAGUUAAUCAUCGUGUUAGUUUUAGAAUCGUCUUAAUUGAUUGGUUUGGGUCGAUGCAAGUCUGUUCAUUAAUUGUUAGCUCUAGGUUUAGGUUAAUCUCAAUUCUUAUUUUGUUUUGAUUUGAUUACUUUAUUGAUAAUGGGUAAUUAGAUUUUUUUUAUCUUUGACCUGUUCAUGCAAAGCUGGAUUGGGAACUUGAUUGGGACUGAUUUCAGUUAUCAGUUUGAUUAAUUGUUUAUUUAAUUUUAGUGUUAAUUGAGGUAGUGUUUAAGAUAGAUUGUUUGGAUAUAGCUGAAUAAUUCAUUUGAUAGUUAACUUCAGUUAGUUUUUAGCUAAGGGUAAAUGGGUUUGGUGUAGUUCACCGAGGUUAGUAAUUUUAAGAAUUAAUACGGGUAGUUUGGACAUGGGAAAAGGGUAGCUUCUUGAAGAAUAGUAAUUUCAAAGCAAGGAAAGAGUAGUAUAGGAAUUGCAUAGCUAAAAGAACACCAUAUGGCCUUCUAGAAGGGGGCCUUGGUGUAGGUUUUCUACAUUUUAAUGUAGUAACUUGGGUAACAAGUCAUAAAAUGAAGGACCAAUCUGAAAAUAAAUAGGGACUAAGAGCGUAAACAAAAAUUGAGGGUUGCCCUAAUCUUGCCUAGAAAAUGCAUGACUAAGUUCCUUAAUGAACAAGUUUGGAAGCCAUAGAAUUCUUCCAAAAGUUCCUCAAGCUCUCCAGAUCUAAAAUUUGAAUUCAGAUCAAAACCCUUUCAAAUUUUAACUCCCUUCAUAUAGAAAACCAAAAAAAAAACAAUAAAAAACAUCAAAAAUCCAAAAAGAGCUACUGCUCCAUUAGGCAAUAGGUGAAUUUUAACCUACAACUGCUGAUUUACAAGUGUUUUUCGUUCAAUCUUUAGCUACUGUGAUUUCAGAGAUCUAUUUGUUCCAUUUUGAGUGCUUUUCAGUUUCUGUCAAGCCAUUUUGAGUCAACUUUUGGAAUAACAUACUAGUAGUGUGUUGUGAGAAUUGGUUAAAGCCUAUUUCGAUAAAAAAUACUCCAGUUAGCUGAUUCUAUUGGGUUUGAUACAUUUCUGGGCUGCAUUUGAGCUUUGUUUAGUAAUUGCUGCUGACUGCUUCUACUUCUUCAUUUUUGAAUUCCAAUUCCAGGUACUUAUCGUGAAACUCAGUAUUAUGUAGACCAUUUGUUGAAAAAAUGAAAUGAGAACUGGAACAUCUGCUGAAAAUCUGUCGUGUGUGAAUCUCCUUACAUUUUAGCAGAUUCAAUGUGAUUUGGCUUGCUAUACGAUGUAACCAAUUUGAAUGUACGACUGAACUGGAAGAACUGUAUUAUGUAGACUGCUGGACUGAUUGAUUUGUAGCUAAUUAGCCUUGGAUUUUGUAGGAUUAGUAGUGGUUUAGAGUACCAAUUUUUUGUUUUAAAAACCCAAGUCCAUAACAGGUUUAAAUUUGCAGUUAAACUGGAAUUGACAUGUUGUAACGAUGAAUUCUAUAUUUAGCUGAAUGUGCGUCUUAGAGUAAUUUCAUAAUGCAAUAGUUUUGACAGUUCUAGGUCAGUAGUACAAGUCAGCAGCUCACAUGGUUUUAAUUAUUUUCUCAUUAGCUGAUUUGUAAAGUCGUUAAAAAAAUGUCACAAGUGUAAGUGAAUCAAUUAGUGCCUUUGUUCAUUUUUAAAUCAGGAAGGUAUAAUUAUUCAUGUGGAUGAUUUGUGAGACCAAUUAGCUAGUAUA
rnacentral:lncRNA from 1 species